CGGCCCUACCGGGUUGGUAAACUGCUUUUAUUACGGGAAUAAACCUCUGGUCGUGACCAGAGCUGAAUGUACUGUAAGAAUAAGGAUCGGCUAACUCCGUGC
rnacentral:rRNA from 1 species